UCUAACAGAAUGCAAUGCAGCUUGAAAGAAUUGCUAAAAAAUAAAUGAGACUUCUGGUCAAGAUGGCGGCAUAGAAGCAGCGAAAGUUCAGACCUUGGAAACCCUUCCUUACGGAUCGCAAACAGAGUGCUCCUAGGACACCGAAAUUCAAGCUGAACAACAGGAUAGACCUGGGGAACCCUCCUCCUGGACCUGGAUCAAAAGCAUUAACUGUGAAGUUCUCAUCAAAAAAGAAAACUUGUCUUUGGAAAGUGUGA
rnacentral:lncRNA from 1 species